AUUGAACGCUGGCGGCAUGCCUUACACAUGCAAGUCGAACGGUAACGCGGGGCAACCUGGCGACGAGUGGCGAACGGGUGAGUAAUGCAUCGGAACGUGCCUGGUAGUGGGGGAUAACUGCUCGAAAGAGCAGCUAAUACCGCAUACGACCUGAGGGUGAAAGGGGGGGAUCGCAAGGCCUCUCGCUAUCAGAGCGGCCGAUGUCGGAUUAGCUAGUUGGUGGGGUAAAGGCCCACCAAGGCAACGAUCCGUAGCUGGUCUGAGAGGACGACCAGCCACACUGGGACUGAGACACGGCCCAGACUCCUACGGGAGGCAGCAGUGGGGAAUUUUGGACAAUGGACGCAAGUCUGAUCCAGCCAUGCCGCGUGCGGGAAGAAGGCCUUCGGGUUGUAAACCGCUUUUGUCAGGGAAGAAAUCUUCUGGGUUAAUACCUCGGGAGGAUGACGGUACCUGAAGAAUAAGCACCGGCUAACUACGUGCCAGCAGCCGCGGUAACAC
rnacentral:rRNA from 1 species